AUGUCAGCCUGGACAGUCUUCGCGGAGAGUCGCCGCGGCUUCCUGCUUCAGCGGUGUCGUUGGGUGCGCCAGCACCGCCACCAGGCCUCGGAGGCUGCCAUCAAGUGCCAGAUCAACCUGGAGCUGUGCGCCUCCUACGUCUACCUGCCCAUGUCACACUACUUUGACCGUGAUGAUGUGGCUUUGAAGAACUUUGCCAAGUACUUUCUUCACCAAUCUCACGAGGAGGGGAAACUGAUGAAGCUGCAAAACCAACGAGGUGGCCGAAUCUUCCUUCAGGAUAUCAAGAAAGCAGACUAUGACGACCGGGAGAAUGGGCUGAAUGCAAUGGAAUGUGCGCUACGCUUGGAAAAAACUGUGAAUCAGUCCCUACUGGAAUUGCACAAACUGGCCACUGACAAAAAUGACCCCCACUCGUGUGACUUCCUUGAGACUCAUUACCUGAACGAGCAGGUGAAAUCCAUCAAAGAACUGGGUGACCCUGUAACCAACUUGCGCAAGAUGGGGGCCCCCGAAUCUGGCAUGGCGGAGUAUCUCCUUGACAAGCUCACCCUGGGAAACAGUGAUUAUGAGAGCUAAGCCUUAGGCUGGCUUCCUGGAGCCUCAGGGGUGACCUCCCUGGUCACCAAGGCAGUGCAUGCAUGUUUAGGUUACCUUUACCUUUUCUAUAAGUUGUACCAAACAUCUACUUAAUGUUCUUUCCUUAGUACCAUUCCUUCAAACAAAGUAAUUUGGUACC